rfam:Pan troglodytes isolate Yerkes chimp pedigree #C0471 (Clint) chromosome 7, whole genome shotgun sequence.
AAUACUUCAUUUAGUUCCAUUAACAAAAUCUAAAGUUGAUUUAUAGGCAGGUACAAAAAAAUCAAUCCUCUUUUGCAAUCCAGAACUCAUUGUUCAGUAUAAGUUUUGCUACAAAUAAGAAGGGGUAUU